UCGCAGGUUCUGAUUGGUGUGUGCUAAAUUUUGACUCCUAGUGUUUCCACCUGGUUAAUUGUGUGCUAAUUGAGCUCAAGCUAUGCUGACUUAAGUUAACAUUAUUGCAUGCUAGUGCUUUCUAAAUGACUACAUGGUGUAAGCACUGUAAAAUGUAGGGAUUUGUGUGUAGAGUUUUGCAGUAAAAGUUCACCAAAUUUGAGUCAUGUGUCAAAGCAGGGAAUAGUGUUUAUAGUUCAGGGAAAUGGGUGAGCUUUUUGACCAAUAGCGUUACGGUUUUGAAAUUUUAGUUUAGAGGCCUGGUUAUAGUGUUUAAGCAAUCGAGAAAAACUGUAAUAUUAUAUUAUUAUGCAAUUUGCUAAUAGAUGUGAAACUUGUAGGAAAAUAAAAUAAACUGUUCUGAGAAAAUGCUUUUGAGUUUUUUGGAGUUUUUUGAAGUUUUUUGGAGUUUUUUUGUUUUUUUUUUACAGCAGAGGCAGCAUCAGCAUGAGGAAAAAAGUUGAUAAAACCAAGGUGGAAGUAAACAUAGACAGACAUCAGAAAGCAAUUCAGUUAACCUACAAUAAUACAGAGAAAACCCCAAUAACCAGAUGAUCCUUUCAUGAGCAAGGACUUUGUGACAGUGAAAACUCCUUAUUAACUGAAAGAAACCUCAGAAGAACUAGGCUCAAGGAGGGGCAGCCAUUUGCCAGGGCCAGCUGGGGGUGAUGGGAGGAAGACAGGACAAGAGACAUGUAGAGUGAUAUAACAACACAGGGAGUGAACAAGGUAAUCAAGUCUGUGGGAGUAGAGUUUUAGGUACCUGCUCAGUACUUUGUCACCAUUGAAGAGUGGUAAAUGGACUGGUUCUCAUGUAGUGGUUUUCUACUCUACUCGAGCUUAUUCAACAUGCUUUAUUCACAGAUUCCCGCCCGUUCCUAAAGGCACUUUUCUCUUCCAUCCUUCAUGCUUUCUAUCUAACAUUCACACACAGUGAUGCCCCAAUGACUGUGUGAGAGCAACUUGGGGUUCAGUAUCUUUCUCAAGGAAAGAUGGCUACUUAUGCAUGCAGACUGGAUGCUGUAGCAUCAGAGAACCACCAACCUUCUAAUGAUAGAGUAUAUAGAUUAAUUGACCUGCACCAGAGCUAUAGCCACCCUCUGAUAAUAACAGUGGCUGCAUUAUAUCCUUAAACAUAGUUACAACUUAGUUCCAGCACUUUCAGAAGGACAUGGACAAGGACAGAUACCACCCAACUCAGAGUGAGUUACAAAAAAAAAAAAAAAUGACACAAUACAUGAUACUGGCACCCCCAUCAGCCGAACUCUGCCCUGGACAGGGUGCAGAAAAUAGGAAGACCUCUCCACUUUAAUGGUGGUCUGUUGGGUGCGUGUGAUGGUCUAAGUGGGUGUAUGAGAUGUAAAUAGGUGUAAACAGUGAGUACGACUGCUUUAAAUCAGGUAUGCUGGUGCUGAACAUAGUCCAGCCGGACUUGAGUUUCCCAGCCUCCCUCGGAAUGCUGUCGAAGCUCUGUCAGAGGUGGGAGUUGAAGAUCUCCAAGAAAGCCUGGGGCCUCUGCCAGGUGUUUCCAGCACACCCUCACUAUACGUUCAGGUGCCCCAGGUCUAUCCAGCAUCCUCUCCCACCACCUAAUCCAGGCAUUGGUCAGCUGGCCAACUCUCUCUUCAUUCCAAUGUUCA
ensembl:lncRNA